CAAACACAGUAUACACUGAUGACGUAAUGACUUAGUGUACAAACUGCAGAAUUCACACGAUGUGGAAACAUUUCCAAUUUCUUUUGCUUGAAACAUUUCAUCAAAUGGGUACGCAUAUCUUGCUGUAACCACGAAAUCUUGCAAGGGUCUAUCCCCUGAGCAAGUGCGACUGCAUUUGCUAUGCUAAAUAGGCCACAGUCAGAUCCUCCCUUCUGACGCUGUUGAAGUACCACCGUAACGUCAAGUGAGCCAUCGUCAAGACAAAGUCCUUUGUACAAAUUAAUGAUUUGCCGUCUCAAAGAAGCAUUCAAGCUGGUGUUUAGACUUUCAUAGACAAUGACUUUUCCUGUGAUGGAGCUUGACGUGACCCAGUGUAAACCAGUAUUAUGGCAUUGAAUGGUUUGAUUUUGCUCAUGGGGGAGCGCGAAUCUACUGGAGUGACAAAGACUUGUCUUUCAACGAUACACCCUCUUCAUUAGGAUGAUUCUUCCUUGUGUACGCAAUUAUUUCGUCAAGCAUAACCAGGGCUUUACUCAGAACGUUCCUAUCUGUAACCACAUACAGUUCAUCUUGAAGACUCUUCAAUGAUUGGAUGCAUUGCUUACGUAUGUUAGACUUUCUCCGGUGUGUAUUCUGAAUUUGACGAUGGUUUUGUAGCGGAAGAGGAAGACCGUUGAGUUAUCACUUUAUCCAAAGUAAACAGGGGUACUUGUCGAAUUUUCUGCCCAAUGAUUCCCACCCUAUGUCUGGCUGUUGAACAACUGCGCAUAUGUGCUUGCAGAGAAGUUUCUUUGUUCGAAAGUCGAGACACUGACACGAUGGUAACUCUUCGUCUGAGCCAAGCCUUACUUGGUAUGCGCAUUCUGCUCCUUGUACGAUGAAAAGCUUUGGAGUCUCUUUUUUAAUGUUUGAAAUCUGGAUGCCAGAGUCGAUUCUACUGAUGAUAUGUUGAACAACACCUCUGGGUCGGUCGUGGAGAUACUUUGGAACACGAUCAUCGUAGCCUCGAUAUGAUGACGUACAUCGAAUGUUUUGCUCUUUGUAUCUAUGUAAAAUUACCAUACGUACAUGAGAAAACUUACAAAAUUUUUAAAGAAGACGAUCAUAAUCAAGUUGUACAAAUUCUCAAGGAGCGGAUAUUGUACCAUCACUUACUUCUUGUAACUAUCAGAUAACUACACAAUCACACGUCGCUCUUUCAUGAGUACAACGAAUUCAUUAACAUGGCAGAAAACACUCUUCAAUCGCGGAAAUUUCUGCCAGUGAGAAGUCCACCAUCAUGUUUCUGGGGUUCCACUCCGGAUUUUCCCUGCUCAAUAUUCGGAGUACCUCGGAUAUUGAGCCAGUGUCUUCAUUUUCUGGAAUAAAAACUGCGACGACAAUGUAUCCAACAUUUGAUCUGACGCAUAAAAAGAAGAGUGGCAAGGCGUACCUAUCACAAUGGAAAAUGUGUUCACAGUUUUUUCCUGCUUGAAUAGUAUUUGCAUCACAUCUCUUUACCUGCAUGUUCUGUAUGUAGCAUCCAUGAGACACAUCUCCUGCCCGUACAAUAAUAAUAGGCGCUUCAUCCACUUCGCUUGAUACACAAAUAAAAAAGUGCUUUUUACGUGUUUUUCA